rnacentral:tRNA from 1 species
GAGGCUAUAGCUCAGCUGGGAGAGCGCCUGCCUUGCACGCAGGAGGUCAGCGGUUCGAUCCCGCUUAGCUCCACCA